rnacentral:misc_RNA from 1 species
UCUUGAAUCUAUAUGGAAUGCAUCUGCAAAUCAAAUUCAAGAGUCCAAGAAUUAGAAAUAAUGAACUGCCAUUUGUCAGCAAAAUAAAAAUUAAUAAUUUAUUUUAAUCAAAAGAAUAAAACAACAAAAUUCAGUAGUAGAAAGCCGAAAUUGGAGAAAGAGACAGCGGAAACUCUAGCAGCUGUGUCCUUAAUCCAAAAGGAAUACAAAUGGGGCCACCCAUAAAAUUCUUCCAUAUAUACGUUCCAAAAAGAAAAUUUGUAUCCAAAUCCAACAAAAAUGGCUGCUGCAUUCUCGAAUUAAUCUUACAAAACACGCCAAAAAAAAUGAAGAAAUUAAUUAAAAGAUUAAAAAACGUUAAAAAUAUUAUACUCACCCUACAACUUGGCGGCGACCCUGG